rnacentral:rRNA from 1 species
AGUGAACGCUGGCGGCAGGCCUAACACAUGCAAGUCGAACGGCAGCACAAUAGAUCUUGCUCUCUGGGUGGCGAGUGGCGGACGGGUGAGGAAUGCAUCGGAAUCUGCCCAUUUGUGGGGGAUAACCUGGGGAAACCGGGACUAAUACCGCAUACGACCUACGGCUGAAAGCAGGGGAUCUUGUGACCUUGCGCAGAUGGAGGAGCCGAUGCCGGCUUAGCGAGUUGGAGGGGUAGAGGCCCACCAAGGCGACGAUCCGUACCUGGUCUGAGAGGAUGAUCAGCCACACUGGGAGUGUGACACGGCCCAGAGUCCUACGGGAGCCAGCAGGGGGGAAUCUUGGACAAUGGGCGGAAGCCUGAGCCAGCCAUGCCGCGGGUGUGAAGAAGGCCGUCGGGUUGUAAAGCACUUUUGUUGGGAAAGAAAAGCAGCCGGUUAAUACCCGGUUGUCAUGACGGUACCCAAAGAAUGAGCAACGGCUAACUUCGUG